GACAGAGGGUGCGAACGUUGUUCGGAAUUACUGGGCGUAAAGCGCAUGUAGGCGGCAGCGCAAGUCGGGCGUGAAAUCCCACGGCUCAACCGUGGAAGUGCACUCGAAACUGCGCAGCUAGAGUCCUGGAGAGGAAGGUGGAAUGCUUGGUGUAGAGGUGAAAUUCGUAGAUAUCAAGCGGAACACCGGUGGCGAAGGCGGCCUUACUGGACAGUGACUGACGCUGAGAUGCGAAAGCUAGGGUAGCAAACGGGGAUUCAAGAUACCCGGUAGUACC
rnacentral:rRNA from 1 species